rnacentral:rRNA from 1 species
AUGCAAGUCGAACGAUGAAGGGGAGCUUGCUUCCUGGAUUAGUGGCGAACGGGUGAGUAACACGUGAGUAACCUGCCCUUGACUCUGGGAUAAGCGCUGGAAACGGCGUCUAAUACCGGAUACGACCUACCCCGGCAUCGGGUGUGGRUGGAAAGUUUUUCGGUCAAGGAUGGACUCGCGGCCUAUCAGCUUGUUGGUGAGGUAAUGGCUCACCAAGGCGACGACGGGUAGCCGGCCUGAGAGGGUGACCGGCCACACUGGGACUGAGACACGGCCCAGACUCCUACGGGAGGCAGCAGUGGGGAAUAUUGCACAAUGGGCGAAAGCCUGAUGCAGCAACGCCGCGUGAGGGAUGACGGCCUUCGGGUUGUAAACCUCUUUUAGUAGGGAAGAAGGACUUCGGUUUGACGGUACCUGCAGAAAAAGCACCGGCUAACUACGUGCCAGCAGCCGCGGUAAUACGUAGGGUGCAAGCGUUGUCCGGAAUUAUUGGGCGUAAAGAGCUCGUAGGCGGUUUGUCGCGUCUGCUGUGAAAACCCGAGGCUCAACCUCGGGCCUGCAGUGGGUACGGGCAGACUAGAGUGCGGUAGGGGAGAAUGGAAUUCCUGGUGUAGCGGUGGAAUGCGCAGAUAUCAGGAGGAACACCGAUGGCGAAGGCAGUUCUCUGGGCCGUAACUGACGCUGAGGAGCGAAAGCGUGGGGAGCGAACAGGAUUAGAUACCCUGGUAGUCCACGCCGUAAACGUUGGGCGCUAGAUGUGGGGACCUUUCCACGGUUUCCGUGUCGCAGCUAACGCAUUAAGCGCCCCGCCUGGGGAGUACGGCCGCAAGGCUAAAACUCAAAGGAAUUGACGGGGGCCCGCACAAGCGGCGGAGCAUGCGGAUUAAUUCGAUGCAACGCGAAGAACCUUACCAAGGCUUGACAUAUACGAGAACGGGCCAGAAAUGGUCAACUCUUUGGACACUCGUAAACAGGUGGUGCAUGGUUGUCGUCAGCUCGUGUCGUGAGAUGUUGGGUUAAGUCCCGCAACGAGCGCAACCCUCGUUCUAUGUUGCCAGCACGUUAUGGUGGGAACUCAUAGGAGACUGCCGGGGUCAACUCGGAGGAAGGUGGGGAUGACGUCAAAUCAUCAUGCCCCUUAUGUCUUGGGCUUCACGCAUGCUACAAUGGCCGGUACAAAGGGCUGCGAUACCGUAAGGUGGAGCGAAUCCCAAAAAGCCGGUCUCAGUUCGGAUUGAGGUCUGCAACUCGACCUCAUGAAGUCGGAGUCGCUAGUAAUCGCAGAUCAGCAACGCUGCGGUGAAUACGUUCCCGGGCCUUGUACACACCGCCCGUCAAGUCAUGAAAGUCGGUAACACCCGAAGCCGGUGGCCUAACCUUUU